GAUGAACGCUGGCGGCGUGCCUAAUACAUGCAAGUCGAGCGAACAGACGAGGAGCUUGCUCCUCUGACGUUAUCGGCGGACGGGUGAGUAACACGUGGAUAACCUACCUAUAAGACUGGGAUAACUUCGGGAAACCGGAUCUAAUACCGGAUAAUAUAUUGAACCGCAUGGUUCAAUAGUUAAAGACGGUUUUGCUUUCACUAAUAGAUGGAUCCGCGCCGCAUUAGCUAGUUGGUAAGGUAACGGCUUACCAACGCAACGAUGGGUAGCCGACCUGAGAGGGUGAUCGGCCACACUGGAUCUGAGACACGGUCCAGACUCCGACAGGAGGCAGCAGUCGGGAAUCUUACGCGAUGCGCGAGAGCCUGACAGAGCAAAGCCGCGUGAGUGAUGAAGGUCUUAGGAUCGUAGAACUAUGUUAUUAGGGAAGAUGAAAAGUGUAAGUAACUAUGCUCGUCUUGACGGUACCUAAUGAGAAAGCCACGGCUAACUCCGUG
rnacentral:rRNA from 1 species